rnacentral:sRNA from 1 species
UAAUAAAUGCGUUAGGGAUUGAAACGGCAUCCUUUUUUUGUUUUUCUCAAAAAAAGAUACAGUGUAAAGCCCGUUAAAAC